rnacentral:misc_RNA from 1 species
GUCAAUCAUCGAAUCUUUGAACGCAAAUUGCACUCUCUGGUAUUCCGGAGAGUAUGCCUGUUUGAGGGUCAGUUUAAAUAAAAAUCGGUGUGGUUGCUGCCUUUCGUGGUGACGCACCGGAUUUGGGUCGUCUUGCCUUCGGUUAAGUGACCUAAAAUUUGGCUUGAUUUUUUUCGAACUUAUUGAAAUGUUUUUAGUUACGUUUGCGAUAUAGAAUACUAGGUGGGGUCAUCCCCAUG